UUGAACGCUGGCGGCAUGCCUUACACCUGCCAGUCGAACGGUAACGGGCCUUCGGGUGCCGACGAGUGGCGAACGGGUGAGUAAUACAUCGGAACGUGCCCGAUCGUGGGGGAUAACGAGGCGAAAGCUUUGCUAAUACCGCAUACGAUCUACGGAUGAAAGCAGGGGACCGCAAGGCCUUGCGCGGACGGAGCGGCCGAUGGCAGAUUAGGUAGUUGGUGGGAUAAAAGCUUACCAAGCCGACGAUCUGUAGCUGGUCUGAGAGGAUGAUCAGCCACACUGGGACUGAGACACGGCCCAGACUCCUACGGGAGGCAGCAGUGGGGAAUUUUGGACAAUGGGCGCAAGCCUGAUCCAGCCAUGCCGCGUGCAGGAUGAAGGCCUUCGGGUUGUAAACUGCUUUUGUACGGAACGAAAAGCCUUCUUUUAAUACAGGAGGGUCAUGACGGUACCGUAAGAAUAAGCACCGGCUAACUACGUG
rnacentral:rRNA from 1 species